rnacentral:siRNA from 1 species
CAUCGUCCAAAGGUUCCAAACAAA